rnacentral:rRNA from 1 species
UACGUAGGUGGCAAGCGUUAUCCGGAUUUAUUGGGCGUAAAGAGAACGCAGGCGGUCUUUUAAGUCUGAUGUGAAAGCCUUCGGCUUAACCGGAGUAGUGCAUUGGAAACUGGGAGACUUGAGUGCAGAAGAGGAGAGUGGAAUUCCAUGUGUAGCGGUGAAAUGCGUAGAUAUAUGGAGGAACACCGGUGGCGAAAGCGGCCCUCUGGCCUGUAACUGACACUGAGGCUCGAAAGCGUGGGGAGCAAACAGG